rnacentral:rRNA from 1 species
CAAGUCGAACGAGGUUAGUCUGGUAGCAAUAUUGGGCUGACCUAGUGGCGAACGGGUGCGUAACACGUGACCAACCUGCCUAGAAGUGGGGGAUAGCUCGGCGAAAGCCGGAUUAAUACCGCAUGUGAUCAUAAGAUUAAAGCAGCAAUGCGCUUUUAGAGGGGGUCGCGGCCUAUCAGCUAGUUGGUGAGGUAAAGGCUUCCCAAGGCAGCGACGGGUAGCUGGUCUGAGAGGACGACCAGCCACACUGGAACUGAGACACGGUCCAGACACCUACGGGUGGCAGCAGUCGAGAAUUUUUCUCAAUGGGGGAAACCCUGAAGGAGCGACGCCGCGUGGAGGAUGAAGGCUUUCGGGUUGUAAACUCCUGUCAUCUGGGAACAAAACUCGCAAGAGCUUGAUAGUACCAGAAGAGGAAGAGACGGCUAACUCUGUGCCAGCAGCCGCGGUAAUACAGAGGUCUCAAGCGUUGUUCGGAUUCAUUGGGCGUAAAGGGCGCGUAGGCGGUGGGGUAAGUCUGGUGUGAAAUCUCGGAGCUCAACUUCGAAAAUGCACUGGAUACUGCUCUGCUAGAGGGCUGGAGAGGAGAUCGGAAUUCACGGUGUAGCAGUGAAAUGCGUAGAUAUCGUGAGGAAGACCAGUGGCGAAGGCGGAUCUCUGGACAGCUCCUGACGCUGAGGCGCGAAGGCUAGGGGAGCAAACGGGAUUAGAUACCCCGGUAGUCCUAGCAGUAAACGGUGCACGUUUGGUGUGCGCGGAUUCGACCCCGUGCGUGCCGGAGCUAACGCGUUAAACGUGCCGCCUGAGGAGUACGGUCGCAAGAUUAAAACUCAAAGAAAUUGACGGGGGCCC